rnacentral:rRNA from 1 species
AAUCAACGCUGGCGGCGUGCCUCAGACAUGCAAGUCGAACGCGAAAGGUUCCUUCGGGAACCGAGUAGAGUGGCGCACGGGUGAGUAACACGUAGGUAAUUUGCCUUUGGGUGGGGAAUAACAGCCGGAAACGGCUGCUAAUACCGCAUAAUGCAGCGGCUCGACAUCGAGACAGUUGUUAAAGCGGGGGAUCGCAAGACCUCGCGCCUAAAGAGAAGCCUGCGGCAGAUUAGCUAGUUGGUAGGGUAAUGGCCUACCAAGGCGACGAUCUGUAACCGGCCUGAGAGGGCGGUCGGUCACACUGACACUGACAUACGGGUCAGACUCCUACGGGAGGCAGCAGUCGGGAAUUUUGGGCAAUGGGCGAAAGCCUGACCCAGCAACGCCGCGUGAAGGAUGAAAUCCCUCGGGAUGUAAACUUCGCAAGAAUGGGAAGAAUAAGUGUGGGCUAAUA